UACGUAGGGGGCGAGCGUUGUCCGGAAUUAUUGGGCGUAAAGAGCGUGUAGGCGGUUCGGUAAGUCUGCCGUGAAAACCUGGGGCUCAACCCUGGGCGUGCGGUGGAUACUGCCGGGCUAGAGUUCGGAAGAGGCGAGUGGAAUUCCCGGUGUAGCGGUGAAAUGCGCAGAUAUCGGGAGGAACACCAAUGGCGAAGGCAGCUCGCUGGGACGUUACUGACGCUGAGACGCGAAAGCGUGGGGAGCAAACAGG
rnacentral:rRNA from 1 species